rfam:Triticum aestivum genome assembly, contig: Triticum_aestivum_CS42_TGACv1_scaffold_092952_2AL
CCACUGUUCAGUUGGUAGAGUGCAAAGCUCUUAACCUUGUGGACGUGGGUUCGAGCCCCAUGGUGGG